rnacentral:rRNA from 1 species
CUUAAGUCUGAUGUGAAAGCCCCCGGCUCAACCUGGGAGCUGCAUUGGAUACUGGGCGACUAGAAUGCGGAAGAGGAUAGUGGAAUUCCCGGGGUAGCAGUGAAAUGCGUAGAGAUGUGGAGGAACACCCGUGGCGAAGGCGACUCUCUGGUCUGUCACUGACACUGAGGAGCGAAAGCGUGGGGAGCGAACAGGAUUAGAUACCCUGGUAGUCCACGCCCUAAACGAUGAGUACUGGAUGUUGGGUGCUAUCCGCCCCUUAGUACCGCAGCUAACGCGUUAAGCUCUCCGCCUGGGGAGUACGGUCGCAAGACUGAAACUCAAAGGAAUUGACGGGGGCCCGCACAAGCGGUGGAGCAUGUGGUUUAAUUCGAUGCAACGCGAAGAACCUUACCUGGUCUUGACA